UUUGUAUGAGUGACCACCACUCAGUCCUUGUGAAGGUGAUGUCUGAUCUUCAUUGAGGACACCAUGUUGUGUGGUACUACACUUUGUGAAAUGGAACAGAUUCAUAACAGACCUAGCUUCAUCGAAUGGGAGUUAUGAGGUAUCGUGCUACAGUCAUUGUGUUCACCUACGAUCUGUAAUCUCAUGGACAGCCAUUUCCUUCAUUCUGUCAUUACCAUCAAGUCAAAGCCUCAUUCUACAUUCAAUAAAGAGUGUAGGAGGGCAAUCCUGGAGCCAAACUAAAGAAACCCAUGACUGAGAUGCCAACCUAGUGAAGCUACGACACAGGAACUAUGUGCAUGCUAAGCAGCAGAACCUAAAUGCACCCAUAAGAAAUGAAUCAGGUUAAAGCUCUUGAAUCUUAGCACAUCCAAUGAUGAAUGGCAGUGCACUAAUUAAACAACUACUGGAGGAGAAAGCUCUAUUAACAUCCCUAUCUCGAUGAUGGGGUAGCCCAGGACAUCAGAGCAAAAGAUGAGGCUGAAGUAUUUAUAACUACCUUCAGCCAGAAGUGCCCAAGUGGACGAUUCAAUUCUGCCUCCAUCUAAUAUCCUCAACCUGCAAGAUGCCAAUCCUCAACCAAUUCAAUUUACUCCAUAUUGUAUCAAAAAAUUGCUCAAUGAACUGGAUGCAAUAAAGACUGUGGGUUCUGACAGCAUUGUGACUGUAGCACUGGAGGCUUGUGUUCCAAAACUAGCUGCAUUCCUACCCAAGAUGUUCUAAUACUACUACACAGCUGGCAACUGCUAGAUGAAGCAGAAAAUUUCCCAGCUUCUCCCUUCCUUCAUGCCAUAUUCAAUACUCCUCACGGUGAACCCUGGAAACCAGACCUUCUCAGCAGAGGAAUGAAUGCUGCAGAAAAAUAAAAUCCAUUGUGGUAUGGAAGAUGCUGCCAGACGUCAGAGGAAUUUUGGGUCGGGACCCGU